rnacentral:rRNA from 1 species
GACGAACGCUGGCGGCGUGCCUAUUACAUGCAAGUGGGACGCAAGGGAACACACUGUGCUUGCACACCGUGUUUUCUUGAGUCGCGAACGGGUGAGUAACGCGUAGGUAACCUGCCUAUUAGCGGGGGAUAACUAUUGGAAACGAUAGCUAAUACCGCAUAAUAUUAAUUAUUGCAUGAUAAUUGAUUGAAAGAUGCAAGCGCAUCACUAGUAGAUGGACCUGCGUUGUAUUAGCUAGUUGGUAAGGUAAGAGCUUACCAAGGCGACGAUACAUAGCCGACCUGAGAGGGUGAUCGGCCACACUGGGACUGAGACACGGCCCAGACUCCUACGGGAGGCAGCAGUAGGGAAUCUUCGGCAAUGGACGAAAGUCUGACCGAGCAACGCCGCGUGAGUGAAGAAGGUUUUCGGAUCGUAAAGCUCUGUUGUAAGUCAAGAACGUGUGUGAGAGUGGAAAGUUCACACAGGG